rnacentral:misc_RNA from 1 species
AGAGAGAGAGAAAGAAAAAAUAUCCCCCACCAAACUCACCGCAAAACAUGAAAGUCCCUCUAGUCCUUCUCGGCGGUAUUGUCGUCCUGUCUGUCGCCGUCGCCAGGGCAUUAUCCUGCGUUUGUUCACCCCUCGAAUGCGACUCCCUCACGGAAGAGGACUGCCCGGGAGGUCUCACCUGGGACCCCUGCAAGUGCUGCAGGAUAUGCGCUCGCGUCGAAGGAGAACCGUGCGGAGGACUGUUCGGGUUCUCGGGAAGCUGCUCGGAAGGGCUGCAAUGCGUUAUAACGAGCCUCCUCGACCACGCCAGAGAAGUGGACGAAGGGACUUGCACAAAAAUUCCGGGUCGCUGGCGUCGCCAUUGUCCCGAGGGUCCCAAGAUGUCCGGAGGGGGUUGCAACCUCGUCGGUGAAGGAUUGAUCCGCGGAUCGG